UACGGGGGGGGGCAAGCGUUGUUCGGAAUUACUGGGCGUAAAGGGCUCGUAGGCGGCCAACUAAGUCAGACGUGAAAUCCCUCGGCUUAACCGGGGAACUGCGUCUGAUACUGGAUGGCUUGAGUUUGGGAGAGGGAUGCGGAAUUCCAGGUGUAGCGGUGAAAUGCGUAGAUAUCUGGAGGAACACCGGUGGCGAAGGCGGCAUCCUGGACCGGUAUUGACGCUGAGGCGCGAAAGCCAGGGGAGCAAACGGG
rnacentral:rRNA from 1 species